GGAAAUGUGGCUUAGUGGUAGAGUGCUUGCCUAGCAUGCAUGAAGCCCUGGGGUCAAUUCCUCAUUACUA
rnacentral:tRNA from 1 species